UUUUCAUUCAGGAUGCUCUAAUGACAAAAACUAAUGUCAAGCCACAUCUCAACAAGGGACUGUUUGGAGAGUCUUACUGAAGGAUCAUAAGAUGGAGUCUUGCUGUGCUGCCCAGGUUGGAGUGCAGUGGCACGAUCUUGGCUCACUGCAACUCCUCCGCCUCCCAGGUUAAAAUGAUUCUCCUGCCUCAGCCUCCCAAGUAGCUGGGACUACAGGCAUGCACCACUACGCCUGGCUAAUUUUUGUAUUUUUAGUAGAGACAGGGUUUUACCAUAUUGGUCAGGCACAUCUCGAGCUCCUGACCUCGGGCAAUCCACCCACAUCGGCCUCCCAAAGUGCUGGGAUUACAGGCUUGAGCCAUGACACCCAGCCCUCUUUUAUUAAUUAUAUUCACUGUGCUGUGCAAAAGACCUAAAAUAAUAUUCCUCCUCUCUGAGAUUUUGUACCGUUUUGCCAUCAUCUUCCCAUUUCCCCUGCCCUCAGGCUCUGUAAUCACCAUUCUACUCUCUGCUUCUAUGAGUUUGAUUAUUUCAGAUUUCACAUAUAAGUAAGACCAUGUGGUAUUUGUCUUUCUGUGCCUGGCUUAUUUCACUUAGAAUAAUGCUCUCCAAUUUCAUUAAUGCUGUUGCAAAUGACAUUUUUUUAUUUGAAGCUAAAUAGUAUUCUAUUGUGUGUAUGUGUGUGUGUGUGUGUGUGUAUGUGUUUGUGUGUGUGUGUGUGUGUGUGUGUGUGUGUGUAUGGAUACACAUACACCACAUUUUCUUUAUCUAUUCAUCUGUUGAUGGCAUCUAGGUUGAUUCUAUGAUGGCCAUUGUGAACAAUGCUGCAAUAAAUAUGGGAGCACAGACAUCUCUUCUACAAAUUAAUUUCAUAACUUUUGGAUAACUACCCAGAAGUGGGACUGCUAAAUCAUAUGGUAAUUCUAUAUUUUUUUUCAGAAACCUACACACAAUUUUUCAUAUGGCUGCACUAAUUCACAUUGCCACCAAAAGCAUACAAGGGUUCCCUUUCUCCUUAUUGUUGUUGGCACUUGUUAUCUUUAGUCUUUAUGAUAAUAGUCAUUCUUACAGCUAUGAGAUAUCUCAUUGUGAUUUUAAUUUUAAUUUCCCUAAUGAUUGUCAAUAUCAAGCUUUUUUUCACAUUUCCUUUGGCCAUUUGUAUGUCAUCUUUUAAGAAAUAUCUAUUCAGGUUAUUUGCCCAUUUUUAAUAGUUUUUUUUUAAAUUUUCUUGCCUUUGAGUUGUUUGAGCUCCUAAUCUAUUGUUAAUAUUAAUCCCUUAUUCGAUGUAUUGUUGCAAAUACUUUCUCCCAGUGUGUGAGUUGUCUCCGCACACUGCACUGUUAAUUGUUUUUAUGCAGAAACGCUUUGUUCGAUGUAAAACCAUGUAUCUAAUUUUGAUUUUAUUGCCUGCACUUUGGAGUCAAAUUCAAAAAAUCAUUGACGAAACCAAUGUCCUGUAGUUUUACUCCUGUAUUUUCUUCUAGUAGUUUUACAGAUUUAGUAUUAAGUCUUUAAUCCAUUUUUGAGUUGAUUUUACAUAUGGUAUGCAAUAAGGGUCCAAUUGUAUUCUUCUGCAUGUGGAUAUACAGGUUUUCCAACACCAUUUAUUAAGUGACUAUUCUUUUUCCGUUAGGUAUUCUUGGCACCUUUUUUGAAAAUCAAUUGACCAUACAUGUGUGGAUUUAUUUCUAGGUUCUAUAUUAUUUUCCUUUGGUUGAUUUUUUUUUUUAAAUCUGUACCAUGCUGUUCUAAUUACUGCAUGAUUUGUGAGUAGAUUCAGUUAGCAUUCCUCAACUAAGAAUAAACAGUAUGGCAGCCAGGCAGGGUGGCUCACGCCUGUAAUCCCAGCACUUUGGGAGGCGGAGGGGGGCGGAUCACGAGGUCAGGAGAUCAAGACCAUCCUGGCUAACACGGUGAAACCCCGUCUCUACUAAAAAUACAAAAAAUUAGCCGGGCGUGGUGGCGGGAGCCUGUAGUCCCAGCUACUCAGGAGGCUGAGGCAGGAGAAUGGCGUGAACCCGGGAGGCGGAGCUUGCAGUGAGCCGAGACUGAGCCACUGCACUCCAGCCUGGGUGACAGAGCGAGACUCCGUCUCAAAAAAAAAUAAAUAAAUAAAUAAACAGUAUGGCUACAUGACAAAUUUGCAACUCCAGCACACUGAAUGUAGAGUGAAAAUGAAAAAUUGUUUAAGAAAAGGAAACAAGAGGCAAUACACCCUAAGUGAAGAACAGCAACAAGAAAAAGCAGACCGUUUUAUCGGAUAGGUCAUAGUGAAUGACAGUAGGUCAUUUACUUUCUUCAUAAUCAAAUGUAAUCUUUCAUCAGACUGUUUUUCUUUCAUUUCUUAAUUUCAUUAAACAUUAUUUUUGAAUUGAAAGAUAAAAUUGUGUGUUUAUUGUGUACAACAUGAUGUUUUCAAGUAUCUAUACAUUACGGAAUGGCUAAACCUAGUGAAUUCACACAUAAAUUAGCUCACACAGUUUUUUUGUGGGAACAACUUAAAAUUGUAUUAUUUUCAAGAAUACAAUAUAUUGUUAUAAGUAUAGUCACUAUGUUUUACAACUGAUCUCUUGAACCGAAGAGAUUAACGCUUCCAUGUUUAUUACUACAUUUUUCCCAAUAGCCAAGAUAUGGAAUGAAUCUAAGUGUCCAUCAGUGAAUGAAUGGAUAAAGAAAAUGUGAUGUGUAUGUACAAUGGAGUACUUACUAUUCAGCCUUAAAAAAAUAAGGCAAUUCUGUUGUGACAACAUGGAUGAAACUGUAGGACAUUAUGUUAGGUGAAAUAAGUCAGGCACAUAAAGAUAAAUACUGCAUGACCUCACCUGUAUAUGGAAUCUAAAAAAAUAAAAAGUUGAUCAUAUAGAACUACCGAGUGGAAUGGUGAUUACUAGGGGAUAGGGGAGUUAGGUGGUGGAGUGGGAAUUGUUGUCCCUCAUUUCUGGACAACUGAGAGAUCCUCUGUGUUCUUCAUAGUUCCUAUCCAUCUCUAAAAGGGAAGUCCUUUUUUAGUGUUUGUGGAGAACUAGGUAAGUUAUUGGUGUAAAAAGUAAUCAUAAGACUAGACUACCAGACUUGGGAUUUUCUUACAUAAUACCCCACCCCCCGCCCAUAAAACACAAUAAACCUCAGUUUGAUUUGAUUUCUAGGUUCUAUCUUUGAUAGUAGAAAAUGCCAGAAAUUUUUUCAAGGCCUUUGAAUAUGAAGAUUAUUCCUGCUAUUUUUGUAUCUCUGCCUUUCUUGUAGCACCCAGUUUCACAGAUUCUCUCUUGUAAGCUGUUUCAUUUAAAUGUAAGUCAAUAAUUUGGUGGGCAGAAUUUGUAUUUCUUGUGUGAAAGCUCUGUAUUUAUAGUUGGCAUUUUAUAGUAGAAGAAAGUACUGCAUGUCUUGGGUUGGGGUAUAUGGAAAGAAACCAUAGGGAGGAACUUGGUGUCUCAGACAUUGUCUAUUUUUUUGGUUCCUUCAAAGUCUCAUUUUUAUCUUCAUUUGUUAGUUCUAUUUCUGUACCUAAUACUUUUAGUCUCCAUAGAACAGAAUACUCCAAAACAAGCCUUCAAAAUGAAAUAAAGCCCUUGACUGUGGUUGCUGAAUGGGUUUGGAUCACUUGUCUCAAGCACAGAGUAUCUCACUCCACCAACUCAAACUGAGUCUUACCUUUUCUGUAAGAGAAUGCUGAGGAUUGUAAGGUUGCCUAAAUACUCCAUAUUUUAUCAAAUUUCAACAUGGGUUUUAAAUUGCUAGCUGGGUGGACACAUUGGCUAAGUCCAGAGACAGGGUAGGUAAUUACUUAAUUAGAGGCUUCUCUUUUACAUACAAAAAUCAGCUUCUUAGCCAGAAAUAUGAGAUUCUCUCUGCUCUCUUUCCUCAGAUGCCAGAACCAUAUUUCUAUUCUUUCACUUGAAACAAAACUUGUAAAUGUACCACUUUUCUGUUAGUCAUUAUUCCUGGAGUAGCAAGUGAAAAGAAAGGGAAUUCAAGCUACCUUAUGCCAGAAAUAGGAUAUACUGUCCCCUAAAUUGUAAGAAGUCCAUGACUGGUUUUAGGCAUGACAAGGUUCAAGGAUUCAAGAUAUGGCACCUGGGUUUGUAACUUUUUCUCUCUCAGCCUCCUUGCUUAGUUCUUUCUAAGUUUCUACUUCUCCUCCUGCACACAGUUUCACUCCAUGUAUUAAGGAAGCUGGCCUUUGCUAGUCCUUAACUGGGUAGAGGAGUCCCCAAAAUAAUGAGAUUGUUGGACAUUCCAAAAUAUAUAUUGACUAUAAGUACUUAAUGGAAUGAACUGAAAGACCACAAUAAAAUUUUCAUAAUACAAAUUCUCAUAUUGCACAAUGAGUUUCUUCUGUACA
rnacentral:lncRNA from 10 species